AGAGAGCUUCAAAACAGCCUGGUGGCCUCACUUCAUAUCCCAGCCUGUCCAUCUGUCCAGCAGCCAAUGCAGCCAUCAGAACUGGCACAUCCUGCUCUGGGCUUUAAACAUGACCACUUGCCCCCCAUGCCCUGUGAAAAUGUUGGUGCUUUUUGCUUUCAUCAUCACCUUCCACAUCAACUCUGCAGCCUUGCGGGUUCAUCGCCACCAUCAACAAUGCCUGGUAGGUAGGAGAUGAGUUUUUGCAGAUGUCUGGAGAUUAUGUACCAACAACAUGAAUUAUACAGUAAUCAAUGACACGUUUAAAAAGUACUCCAUACUCCAGGUGGUCCAGGCCACCGUGAUCCUCUCCACCAUUCUCUGCUGUGUUGCCUUCUUCAUCUUCAUGCUCCAGCUCUUCCGCCUGAAUCAGGGAGAGAGGUUUGUCCUAACCUCCAUCAUCCAGCUAAUGUCGUGUCUGUGUGUCAUGAAUGCGGCCUCCAUUUAUACAGACAGGCGUGAAGACAUUCACGAGAGAAACAUGGAAUUCUAUUACCUGACCAAAGAAGGCAGCAAUGGCUACUCCUCCAUCCUGGUGUGGGCGGCCUUCACCUGCACCUUCAGCAGCGGCAUGAUGCACCUGAUACUGAGGAAGGGCAAACGGAGUUCCGGAGCUUGGUUGCUUCUGCUGCAGUACAGAAUCCACAUUCAGAUAACCAUUUUGUAUAUAAUCAUUAUUUUUUUGAGGUUUUUCUAGCAAAUGUAUUGUUUCUUUUAAAAGCCAAAAAAAAGAAAAAGAAAAAAUUCAAAAAGGAGAAGAGUUUUUGCAUUCUUGAGUUCAGAGAAUAGACUAUGAAGGCUGGUAUUCAGAACUGCUGUGCACUCAAAAGUCUCAAGACACAAGCAAAGCUCCAGCAAAGCUCAAAUCCAAAAGCGCUUGGAGGGACAUUUCUUAACCAUAGGGUUGUGAAGGGAGGAGAUGAGAGGCUGGGAAAGCCAGGUCUCUGGGGAUGUGCUUCCUAUAGGUUUUAGCUGGCUCAAGCUCCUCCCAAAUCGCUCUGCUAGUGGUAGGUGAAAGGGGGUGAGGUGGGUUGCAGGAGAGGAAUGACAGUUUCCUGAAAGGUUUAGCCCAAGUUCCAAGUGAGAAGCAGGUAUUGUCCCUGACAUUCUGUCUGUAUCCAAACCAGAGCCCAACCAACCCUCCUGUAUAGGGGCGGGUCAGAAAAAGUUUCACCUAAAUUUGCUGACAGUGUCACCUGCUUGCCUUAGGAAUGGCGAUCCUUUACUUGCAUGCCAGAUUUAUACUCACCCUUUGGCAAAACCUACAGUCCCCCCGC